ensembl:miRNA
UAGAAGCCAUGAGUUCACCAGAGGAAACUAUGGCUGACUGUAACAUGAUUUACAGUACAGACAAUGUUGCCUCAUCCUCUAUUCCUGCUGCUUCAGAGUUCUUCAAACAU